GAUGAACGCUGGCGGCGUGCCUAAUACAUGCAAGUCGAGCGAACGGACGAGAAGCUUGCUUCUCUGAUGUUAGCGGCGGACGGGUGAGUAACACGUGGAUAACCUACCUAUAAGACUGGGAUAACUUCGGGAAACCGGAGCUAAUACCGGAUAAUAUUUUGAACCGCAUGGUUCAAAAGUGAAAGACGGUCUUGCUGUCACUUAUAGAUGGAUCCGCGCUGCAUUAGCUAGUUGGUAAGGUAACGGCUUACCAAGGCAACGAUGCAUAGCCGACCUGAGAGGGUGAUCGGCCGCACUGGAACUGAGACACGGUCCAGACUCCUACGGGAGGCAGCAGUAGGGAAUCUUCCGCAAAGGGCGAAAGCCUGACGGAGCAACGCCGCGUGAGUGAUGAAGGUCUUCGGAUCGUAAAACUCUGUUAUUAGGGAAGAACAUAUGUGUAAGUAACUGUGCACAUCUUGACGGUACCUAAUCAGAAAGCCACGGCUAACUACGUG
rnacentral:rRNA from 1 species